CCUACGGGUGGCAGCAGUGGGGAAUAUUGGACAAUGGGGGGAACCCUGAUCCAGCGACGCCGCGUGAGUGAAGAAGUAUUUCGGUAUGUAAAGCUCUAUCAGCAGGGAAGAAAGAAAUGACGGUACCUGACUAAGAAGCCCCGGCUAACUACGUGCCAGCAGCCGCGGUAAUAAGUAGGGGGCAAGCGUUAUCCGGAUUUACUGGGUGUAAAGGGAGCGUAGACGGCGAUGCAAGUCUGAAGUGAAAGGCGGGGGCUCAACCCCCGGACUGCGUUGGAAACUGUCUGGCUGGAGUGCAGGAGAGGUAAGUGGAAUUCCUAGUGUAGCGGUGAAAUGCGUAGAUAUUAGGAGGAACACCAGUGGCGAAGGCGGCUUACUGGACUGUAACUGACGUUGAGGCUCGAAAGCGUGGGGAGCAAACAGGAUUAGAUACCCUGGUAGUC
rnacentral:rRNA from 1 species